GGAAGAUUAGCAGCCACCCGGAAGGUCGACUACAUAGAGGGCUUGCUCUGAUCUGGACUGAAUAUGAAUGCAGUCGAUCAUGCCACUGCACUGUUCUUCACACCACGACAGCUGGGUCCAGUCUUGACAGGAGGCCAAAGACUCCACCCACAAGGCACAUGGCUUGUCAGCAACAACACAGAGCACCAGUGUGUCCAAGCCACAUCCACCAACAAGCCCGGAUGCCCUCUGCAAGUCUGGUUGACACAGGGCAAGAGCCAUGAGCACCCAAGCUCUGGCGGCCUUCCCGGGAGCUCUCACUCUCCGGGCACACAGGGAUCUCCCUGCUUGGGCAGACGGUGGGUCUGCAGGGACUCGACAUGCCAUGGGGCCCUCCCAUGACGCCCAAAGGUCUGCCUCCCCCAGCCCUCAAGGGCUCCGCAUCUACUAAGGCCAUACUGCCCUGACCAGAAUGCCGGCCAAGGCCAGGUGCCAGCCAUCCUGGUCUUGACCCGCCAAGUUGCCCACAGCCCGACCACCUAAGGGGUACCCAAGGGAAACUCCGGUGCCUGACUUGCGUGAGGCUGGGUCCUAUGGCUCAGCCCCCUUGGGGGAGCCUUCGUGUGGCUGUUCGUGUAUACCAGCACAGGCUCGGGGCCACGUGAACACUUGGGCCCUCCUCUGCUUCCACCAGGUGGGCUGUCCACCACAAUCCUGAACCCCGAAAUCCUCGUUGAGCCUCCUCCUCUCUCAGGGAAGUCCACAGGGAAGCUUAGCGGCCACUCAGAUGGGCGUCGAGACGGAGGGCUUGCUCCUAUCCCAAAGAGGCUGGACCCGGUCGAUCGUGCCGCCGCACCCUUCUGAACACCACGUCAGCCGUGUCCAGUCUUGAAAGGAGGAUCAAAGGCUCCAGCCCAGAAGGCACGAAACUCAUCAGCAAGCACUGCCAGUAAGCCAUUUCAGGGGCAAACGCCCACACACGUGG
rnacentral:lncRNA from 1 species